rnacentral:lncRNA from 1 species
UUCCAUCUCUAACCCUGGCUCUCAAUCCACUGAGUCGCCUUUUCUUCUUUGCAUCCCCAGAGCACUAAGCUGCCUUGCUUCUGCAUCCUAAGGACCAUGGGACUUCCCGUUCAGCUGCCUGGCAGCUGAAACCUUUCCUCCGUGGUGUGGAGCUCCUUGAGAGCAGGGACUCUCUGACUUCAAUAUCUGUAUCCCUGGUGCUAGACAGGAUGAAUAUCUGGUGCACAUAUAUGAUAUUAAAUGGGAUAGUCUGUGAAGAAGAUGAAUUGCACACAAUUGUCAGUGCAUUAAAGAAGUCUCGCCACCUUAGACUAUUCUGAGAAGCCUGAGAACACAU